rnacentral:rRNA from 1 species
AGUGAACGCUGGCGGUAGGCCUAACACAUGCAAGUCGAACGGCAGCACAGUAAGAGCUUGCUCUUACGGGUGGCGAGUGGCGGACGGGUGAGGAAUACAUCGGACUCUACUCUUUCGUGGGGGAUAACGUAGGGAAACUUACGCUAAUACCGCAUACGACCUACGGGUGAAAGCAGGGGAUCUUCUGACCUUGCGCGAUUGAAUGAGCCGAUGUCGGAUUAGCUAGUUGGCGGGGUAAAGGCCCACCAAGGCGACGAUCCGUAGCUGGUCUGAGAGGAUGAUCAGCCACACUGGAACUGAGACACGGUCCAGACUCCUACGGGAGGCAGCAGUGGGGAAUAUUGGACAAUGGGCGCAAGCCUGAUCCAGCCAUACCGCGUGGGUGAAGAAGGCCUUCGGGUUGUAAAGCCCUUUUGUUGGGAAAGAAAAGCAGCAGGUUAAUACCCCGCUGUUCUGACGGUACCCAAAGAAUAAGCACCGGCUAACUUCGUG